rnacentral:rRNA from 1 species
GCGGAGGAAAAGAACAACAGGAUUGCCCUAGUAACGGCGAGUGAAGCGGCAACAGCUCAAAUUUGAAAGCUAGCCUUCGGGUUCGCAUUGUAAUUUGUAGAGGAUGAUUUGGGGAAGCCGCCUGUCUAAGUUCCUUGGAACAGGACGUCAUAGAGGGUGAGAAUCCCGUAUGUGACAGGAAAUGGCACCCUAUGUAAAUCUCCUUCGACGAGUCGAGUUGUUUGGGAAUGCAGCUCUAAAUGGGAGGUAAAUUUCUUCUAAAGCUAAAUAUUGGCGAGAGACCGAUAGCGCACAAGUAGAGUGAUCGAAAGAUGAAAAGCACUUUGGAAAGAGAGUUAAAAAGCACGUGAAAUUGUUGAAAGGGAAGCGCUUGCAAUCAGACUUGUUUAAACUGUUCGGCCGGUCUUCUGACCGGUUUACUCAGUUUGGACAGGCCAGCAUCAGUUUCGGCGGCCGGAUAAAGGCUCUGGGAAUGUGGCCUCCACUUCGGUGGAGGUGUUAUAGCCCAGGGUGUAAUACGGCCAGCCGGGACUGAGGUCCGCGCUUCGGCCUAGGAUGCUGGCGUAAUGGUUGUAAGCGACCCGU